UACGAAGGGGGGCUAGCGUUGUUCGGAAUUACUGGGCGUAAAGGGCGCGUAGGCGGUCCUUCAAGUCAGGCGUGAAAGCCCCGGGCUCAACCUGGGAACCGCGCUUGAGACUGGCGGGCUAGAGUUCGGGAGAGGAUGGUGGAAUUCCCAGUGUAGAGGUGAAAUUCGUAGAUAUUGGGAAGAACACCGAUGGCGAAGGCAGCCAUCUGGACCGACACUGACGCUGAGGCGCGAAAGCGUGGGGAGCAAACAGG
rnacentral:rRNA from 1 species